rnacentral:lncRNA from 1 species
CGCGUCCUGGAGCACCCGACGAAGUCGCUGGCUCUCGGCCUCCACCUCUCGACGCCUCUUCCUCAAGACCUCGGAUUUCGCCUCCGCGUCCGCGACGGCCCGCUGCUCGUAUGCCAGUUGAAUCUUCAGUUGUUGCAGCUCGGCUGUCUGUUCCCCGAGGGCGACUGAAAUCCCUUCAACGGUUCCUCUUAGGGACUGGAGCUCAUCAGAAUCUCGGGCGGA